UAGGGAAUCUUCCGCAAUGGGCGAAAGCCUGACGGAGCAACGCCGCGUGAGCGAGGAAGGUCUUCGGAUCGUAAAGCUCUGUUGCCAGGGAAGAAAAGGCGCUUGUUGACUGCAGGCGCAUUGACGGUACCUGAGACAGAAAGCCCCGGCUAACUACGUGCCAGCAGCCGCGGUAAUACGGAGGGGGCAAGCGUUGUCCGGAAUUAUUGGGCGUAAAGCGCGCGUAGGCGGCCCUUUAAGUCUCGUGUUUAAACCCGGAGCUCAACUUCGGGUCGCACGGGAAACUGGGGGGCUUGAGUGCAGGAGAGGGAAACGGAAUUCCACGUGUAGCGGUGAAAUGCGUAGAGAUGUGGAGGAACACCAGUGGCGAAGGCGGCUUCCUGGUCUGUAACUGACGCUGAGGCGCGAAAGCGUGGGGAGCAAACAGG
rnacentral:rRNA from 2 species